CUUUAUGGCGGGCUGCGCAUGGACUUCUUCGGAAGUGCCGGGUUCCUUCGUACCGGUCCGCCAACCUUGCGUAGUCCGUCACCCUU
rfam:Pseudomonas alkylphenolica strain KL28 chromosome, complete genome.